GGUUAAGCGACUAAGCGUACACGGUGGAUGCCCUGGCAGUCAGAGGCGAUGAAGGGCGUGCUAAUCUGCGAUAAGCGCCGGUAAGGUGAUAUGAACCGUUAUAACCGGCGAUACCCGAAUGGGGAAACCCAGUGUGACUCGUCACACUAUCAUUAACUGAAUCCAUAGGUUAAUGAGGCGAACCGGGGGAACUGAAACAUCUAAGUACCCCGAGGAAAAGAAAUCAA
rnacentral:rRNA from 2 species